AUGGCGACUCUCCCCGACGCCCACUCUGCCACGGGUGGCGGCGGCUCCACCGCGGCUACACGAUCGAAUCUGGGUGACUUUCUUCAACAACUGGAUCUGAACGAUGAGGACUUCGCUGAUGUCGAGAUCGAUGAGGAUGACCCUGCGAUUCAAGAAAGCGUCCGCUGGCUUGUCCUAGCCAGGGUCCGUAUAAGCAGAAACUUCAGCCCGUCUGCUUUCUAUAAGGACAUGAGGGCUGCAUGGAACCCCGCGCAGAAUGUGAGAUUUCGGCCAGUUGGCCCUAAUCGCUUUGUCGUCCAAGCAUCUUGCUUGGGAGAUUGGGAACGCAUCAUGAUGCAAGGACCUUGGCUGUUCCGCAAUAUGGCCGUGCUCUUGUGCCCGUAUGACGGCUUCAGUAAGGCUGAGGAGGUGGAGUUCUCUCAUAUCCCAAUUUGGCUACAGAUUCACAAAUUGCCAGACCCAUACUGCAAGCAAAAUAUUGUGGAGAAGCUAUUGAAAGAUGCAGGAGAGAUUAUGGAGAUGUGUUUGAAUGGAAACACCCGAGGUGACUAUGUUAGGGUUAGGGUGAAACAUGAUAUCCGGCAGCCACUUACAAAGUACGUCAGUAUUGUACGGGCGAAGGAACGUCAGGUUUAUCUGGUUCGGUAUGAAAAACUUGCUAGGUUUUGUAAGUUUUGUGGCCUCAUUGGUCAUGACCACAAAGAA
rnacentral:rRNA from 1 species